rnacentral:rRNA from 1 species
UACGUAGGGUGCAAGCGUUGUCCGGAAUUAUUGGGCGUAAAGAGCUCGUAGGCGGUUUGUCGCGUCGGCUGUGAAAUCUCGGGGCUCAACCCCGAGCCUGCAGUCGAUACGGGCAGACUAGAGUGCUGUAGGGGAGACUGGAAUUCCUGGUGUAGCGGUGGAAUGCGCAGAUAUCAGGAGGAACACCGAUGGCGAAGGCAGAUCUCUGGGCCGUAACUGACGCUGAGGAGCGAAAGCAUGGGGAGCAAACAGG